GGGCCCGUAGCUCAGCAUGGAUUAGAGCACCGCCCCUCUAAGGCGGGGGUCAUGGGUUCGAAUCCCACCGGGCCCG
rnacentral:tRNA from 1 species